ensembl:lncRNA LINC01478 long intergenic non-protein coding RNA 1478
ACACGAUGCAUUUUCUUUUCUUAUCACCAAACUGUUUUGAAAGAUAAAAGUACUUCCUGAAUAUGUGGAUGGUGAGCCACGUGAAUGGAAGACAUGGAGAUAUGGACUGUUAACACCUUGUCAAACAUUUAUUGUCCCUUCCACCUCUAAACUUCUGUGAUAAUAGGUGAACAGGACCCACGUGGUGCAGAAUACUGCGAUACACACUGCGGAAUAAUUCAGUGCAGAACAACACGUGGAUUGCUCAGUACAACUUGUUCAUCACAUCCUCCUGUUCACUGAAGAAUUAUGGAAAUAUUCUCUGAGCUGCUUUCCUCCCUGCCCAACGAGUCAUCUCUGUGUGAAAGGCCAAGCUUAUAAAUCCUGGGACUGGGAGUUGGAGAGGGGAGACUGGAGAGAGUAGGAAGGGAAACUGGAAAUGAAAAGAAAAACACUGAGCCCCACAGUUUCAAGUCGGAGACAAAUUAUCUCAAGUGCUCCAGAACUUCUGGACUAGCUUUCAUGAUGGAAAAAGUGUUCUCUUCAUACUACCAAGAAACAUGAUGAGCUGAGAUUCCAGCCAUAGUUCUUUAGGAUCCACAGCACGACUUGCAGUAAACGGCGCUAGAAGAAAGAGACAUUAUACAAAUGCAAGCUGUUGUCACAACAAUGAUAAGAAAUCAGGAGUCGAAAGAUGUGGAGUAAGGGGGAAUUUCAGAGAAACCACAAAACACAAAAUAGGAAACAGAGACAGGAGAAGAUUGCUAUGACAAAAUUGCAGAAGGUGAAAUCUUUGGCAGCCUCUUAUUUCUCUGGAGAAUAUGAUAUUGUCAGGCUGAGGUGGAAGAAUCACAUGGUCAUACUGUUGAAGAGGUCUUGAAACAUUGGGCUUUCCUCUACAAGCGGAAGGAUAGCACUGGCAGCCAUCCACUGGCCCAGCAAUAUCCUGGAUUGAGACGAUAUCAUUUGCAUUACUUGCUGAAUGAAACAUAGUGAAAAUGACUGCAGAUAACCUCAACUAAGUCCAAGAUAUCAUUUUCAAAUCUGGACCAGCCCUUGCCAUCUAGACUGAACAGAGAUUCCAGUUUCCAGGAGAGUAGAUGGAGUAAUGAUAAAAGCACCUCCCAAAACUUUUGCCUUGCUCCAUCAAAACUUAUAAAAUCUUGGGAAGAGGAACUGUGGCCCAUCACUGAUCAUUUCAUCUAUUAAGUGACCACUUAUUGUCUUAUAAUAGGAGAUGUUCUGGAAACAUGCAUUGAAUCGAAGUGGCUUUGAGGAAGCAUGAAGAGAAAACAGGAUGGCAUCCUUUUGGCACCAUUUCUUAUGCUAUAAUAAGGAUUCCUUCUGUUUACACAUAAAACAGAAGAGUUUAAUCACCCCAGCAAUCUUUAACUUGGUAAUGAAGGCCAUAAAUUAAAUUUUAAGCAAAGUUAAAGAAGAUGAGAUGAAAUAUAAAACAAAAACAUCAUCAGAAUCUGCCCAGGAACAAUAUUCUUGACACCAAACCAUGACAUUAUGGGGCUCAGUUGUUUGUUUCUAGGGCAGCCCCUUGUUUUAUGUGCCAAAUAGCAUUUCCCUAAAUAAAACUGCAUGGAACAAAAUGCCA